CAGGACACAGCAAAUUGCGGGGCUGCCUGGUGUUUUUGUCUCUUUUCCACAGUUCCCAGUGGGUAACCGCGGGCCGCCGAUCACGGUGAUGGAUUGGGAAGCGGGCCAAUGCAUUUUCAACAAAAAAAAAAAAGGACUCUUGGAGCCGUGUUUGCUUGCUUGCUUGGGUGGCUGUCUGUGGCUGGUCUAAUUUCUCCUCCAUUCCCGCCCCGCCUCUGCUGCUGCUCCUCCCGGGCUGAGCUGCAAGGAGCCGAGUGAGUGAAAGAAGCCCAACGUCAGUCAGUCAGGCGGAGAGUAACAAUGGAGCGGCCAUCCCGACCGUCACUCAAAGUAACGUGGACUCAAACUCUGGCUGAGCGAGAGAGAAAAAAACAGACAAGUCUUUGUCCCACCCACUAGCAGGAGAGCCAGAGCAGGAAUGCUAACUAAUUAUAACUCUGUGGCUAAGCUUCGGCUUUGCACCAUUGUUGGGCUGCUGCUGUAGAGGUCGAUUUAUAAUUGUCGAAAGAAAUUUAUAACAAGAGUAGAAGGUAUUUCAAUUGAACGGGUGGAUUUCAAAGCCACUCAGCGUCUGUACCAAAAAGGUAUACGACGUGUGAAAUUAAAUAAUUUGGAAAGUCUAUUGCCUCUGCUCCCCACCCGCCUUCGCAAUUUAGCAAAAAUCAACUUCACUUUGGGACCUGGGGUUGCUGAAAGCGCGAACACAUCACCAGCGUCUGCGCUGAAACCAGAAUCAAAGCGGCCCGCAUCUGUUUUCAUUCCGCUGCUCUGCAAAAAUUGCAUCCAGAUGUUUAACAGAUCAGAAUUUCAAAAUAAUUCGCGCCGAGGAACAGAUCGCACCGCUCACACUGAUGCCAUCUUCUCCACAUCUCGGCGAUAUUUUCUCAACGGAGGAUAACUUUAGGGGUGAUGAUCUGCAGACAAAGCCUUCUUUGCGGACAGGACCCUGGUGAACUGAGAUUCUGGGGGUGUGGGGGGACUGCGGACCACACACACUAUAACUUGCGAACGCCUUUAUUUGUUUCAAGUUUAAUUGGGAAUUUUAGACCAGCACGACGUUCUAAUUUCCCAUUCCUCUGUAAUGUAUGGCGUCACUCAUCUCAAAGCUUUUUUUAGGAUUAAAAUAAAACUGAUCCA